GUAGGUGGCAAGCGUUGUCCGGAAUUAUUGGGCGUAAAGCGCGCGCAGGUGGUUCUUUAAGUCUGAUGUGAAAGCCCCCGGCUCAACCGGGGAGGGUCAUUGGAAACUGGGGAACUUGAGUGCAGGAGAGGAAAGUGGAAUUCCACGUGUAGCGGUGAAAUGCGUAGAUAUGUGGAGGAACACCAGUGGCGAAGGCGACUUUCUGGCCUGUAACUGACACUGAGGCGCGAAAGCGUGGGGAGCAAACAGGAUUAGAUGCCCUGGUAGUCCACGCCGUAAACGAUGAGUGCUAAGUGUUGGGGGGGUUUCCCGCCCCUCAGUGCUGCAGCUAACGCAUUAAGCACUCCGCCUGGGGAGUACGGUCGCAAGACUG
rnacentral:rRNA from 1 species